rnacentral:tRNA from 1 species
ACUUGGCUGGCUCAAUUGGUAGAGCACGUGACUCUUGAUCUUGGGGUCAUGAGUUUAAGCCCCAUGUUGAGGG